GUGAACUGCGGAAGGAUCAUUGUCGAAUCCUGCAAAAGCAGACAGCGAACAUGUUAAACCAUAUUGGGACAGCGGGUCUUGGGGGAGACCUCUUGCCCGCGCCCAUCUCUCGCACGGAGGGCGUCUAGGCGAGCGUCGUGCGGGCUAACGAACCCCAGCGCGGCAUGCGCCAAGGAAAACUCAUAGAAGCGUCGGCCUCCCUUCGCCCCGUUCGCGGAGCGCGGUGGGUGAACUGACGUCUCUCCAAUGUCAUAACGACUCUCGGCAACGGAUA
rnacentral:misc_RNA from 1 species